UAGGAGUAGAAUUAGUGAGUCAUAUGGUAACUUUAUGAUUAACUUUUAAUGGCCAAACUGUUUUCAGUGGUGUGGCUGUACCAUUUUACCUUCCCCCAGGGCAUCAGAAAAGAUGACUGAAAGGGUUCUCCAUUCCCAAGCAAGAGGGAACCCUGAUGGCCAGAAGGAACACAGGAACCACAGCGCAUGGCACAGAACAGUGACCAGGAAGGCCGAAGGCUAGAAGGACAACUGGGAACAUGGCAGAAGGGCAGGCUGGUGGUCCGGUGGUUCUCCAGGGAGACCAAGGCAAGGAUACACUUGGGAGAUUGUCUUGUAAACUAAGUGAAAGAGCUGCCAGACACCAUCUCCUGGAAAUGCCUAGAAGAGACAGGAAGCUAAGAGGAAAACAGCAAACCGUGGAAGAGAGACCUGCCAGUCUGCAUCGUAUCACCCACCUCCCCGAGCUGGGCUCCUCAUACUGACUCAGUAAGUUCAGUCUACUGGCAAACCAUACACCACAAUUAACUGUCCUUAAUU
ensembl:lncRNA